UACGGAGGGAGCUAGCGUUGUUCGGAAUUACUGGGCGUAAAGCGCACGUAGGCGGCUCAGCAAGUCAGGGGUGAAAUCCCGGGGCUCAACCCCGGAACUGCCCUUGAAACUGCUAAGCUAGAAUCUUGGAGAGGCGAGUGGAAUUCCGAGUGUAGAGGUGAAAUUCGUAGAUAUUCGGAAGAACACCAGUGGCGAAGGCGACUCGCUGGACGAGUAUUGACGCUGAGGUGCGAAAGCGUGGGGAGCAAACAGG
rnacentral:rRNA from 1 species